GGGAAUAUAGCUCAGUGUAGAGCACAUGCUCUGUGCACAUGGGGUCCUGGGUUCAAUCCCCAGUGCCUCCG
rnacentral:tRNA from 1 species